rnacentral:tRNA from 1 species
GAUAUAGCUCAGUUGGUUGAGUGUUUGCCUAGCAUGCAUGAAGCCCUGGUUUCAAUCCCCAGGAUCA